ensembl:lncRNA
GCGGUUCAUUUGAGAUGCCCUGACUCACACUGGUGCCACAUGUCCUGAUGCUGGCUCUGGUUUGGGGCCACCAGGAGAAGAGCAGAAGUCUCGUGCCCAACCCCCCGCCCUCCAAUCACUGAGACAACACCAGCAGCCACUUACCUGGAGAUGCGCUGUUAGAGGAGAGAAAAUGAAAGCCACGCCCUGUGCCGUCGGUUUCUGUUCCAGCUGAUGGAAAUCCCUGACUGAUGAAUGAAAACUAGAGGAAAAGCUCCAAGAGAACAGAACCGGGAGAGACGCUUUCCCCCCCCGCCCCGAGGAGCACGGGGCGAUGCGUCUGGCCUGGGUUCGAGGUGCAAACCUGUUAUCUCGUUCUGUGCCCCUGAGCCAGUCACUCUGCCCCCCAAGGCCCACUGUCAAGGCAGGACCACCACACUCUGACUCCCCCAUGCCCACAACUGUCGUGAUGUCCUCCUGCUGUGCCGUGGGCCCCAGGACCCAGGUAUCAGAAGCACAGAUUUCCACCUCCCUCGCAGUUGCAGGCUGGGGGACAAAGGAGCACCCCUCUGGUGGGAUAGGCACAGUUCCAAAAGGAAAUAAGUAGCUGAAGUUAUUUCACGCACACCACAGCUCAAAGUCUGAUGACACGCGGCCAAUCCCUCUGCAGCGAGGCCUUUGAAAAUCGCAGUGUCCCCGGGAAGAGCCUCAGACACCUGCUGUGUCAUUUCCAAGACUGUCUUCUCCAGGAAACGGCACAGUGAGCAAGCCAGCUCAUCACCACAUUCCUGAAGCUUGUCUCGUUAUAGUCGGAGCCCCUAAAUUUGGCUUAGGAGUCUGCUUGACCCGGGGCUUCCUGGAGACCUGUGAUCUUGUGAUUACAAGACCGGGGCGGUGAUGCUGUACAGGGGUCAGUUUAGUUUCAAAACUAGCUGAGGGAAGAAUGAGGAAAAACACAGUGACCUUUCCUUCCUCGGGCAGGCUGGGGUGAGGACACGUUGUACGGACCUCACAGAACCCUUCUUGGCCAUCUCUCGCUGUGCGUUGUUCUCCAAGCAGAAGGGAGCACAUUGCUGACGAGGGCAAGAGUGGAGGCGAUGUGGUUUAUAAAGCACUUGGACACAGUCUUGCAUCAAUAUUUGGGCAGUGGUUUAUACAGAGCAGGAUUCUCAGCCUGAGGUGACGGGGUUCAAGGAUUCUCUGGCAGUUUACCCAGACUACACAGGCCCUUUCCGCUGUCACAGCCUGGCAAGUGCCAGGUGUUCGGGAGUCAUGGCAAGUGGUUCAGCAGAGGCCCGUGGGAAGACAUUGGUGAGCCUGAAAUGGGAGUUGGAGAGAAGACAGAUUAUAACAUUAUUUAGCAGCAUGUGGGCCACCAGCACAGCACGACUGCUAAGAGUGGUGUAGGUCGAUGCCUGGGAACUGAAUCCAGGCCACCAAAGCGGAGCACACUGAACUUAACCACUAGGCCCCAUUGCGGCUGGCCCCAAGAUAACUGUUAUUUUUAACUGAAUUUUGUUGCCAAACAAAGAAUGAUGCUUCUUUUCUCUGGGAUGAACAUAAAUCAACAUAAACCAAAAUUGUAUUUUUCUGCAGAGAUUAUGCUAUAAACUGGUAGAAAAGUCAACUGUCAGCUUACACUACUCACCAGGAGGGCAGCAUGAGCCCUGAGAAGGGGUGAAAGCACAGGUCCCUCGUGAACGUCCCCAUCAGGGCACGACAGGUCCUGCAUACCAUGUGCCCACGGGACAGCAUGCAGGCACAACUCCUAAUUAGCAAGGACCCAUUUCCAUGUUAGUUCAAAAAAUUUUGGUGAAGUUGAUAAUUCUAAUGCUUUUAAAAUUCCUUUCAAGAAUGUAUUUUUCUUUGCUGGAAUAACCUAAAUAAAUAUUUUAAUAAAUUAGAUUUAAUGGAAUGAAGAAUUGUGAACAAAACGAAGAUAGAGUUGUCUCUGGGGAACAGAUAACAAUUAGAGAAACUUUUGAAUAAAAUAAAGUGAUAGUUUAAAAUGAGGUGAGGUGAGAAGAGCCUGAACACAUGAAGAAUGACUGAUUUUAAUUGGCUGUAGAGUGCUUUGCCUGGUCUCUUUAAAAAAGAGACAAAAUCUAAGUCUUAAAAUGUUCAAACAAAACAAAAACUCAAAAAUGUAUUUAAAGGCUUGAACCCGGGCCUCUGUAUACGAAAGGGGUGUUUGUAGCAAGCUAGUAAAACCAAGGAAGUUUUGACCUAGAUUAUUCCUUCCCCUCAUCCAUUCACUAAGUCAACAAAUCUUUCUCGAGCACCUGGGCAAGGCCAUCAAACCCUUGGCAACACAGAGCAUAAUCUAUUGGUGCAUGUCCACACAUGCUGAGUUCCUCCCGCGCAGACUUGCCAAGGCCAGUGGUUUCCACUGUGCUCCCUUUGAGGCCCACCCACCUCCUCACUGCGCUCCUGCUGCCUCCUGGUCCCCUCCCUCAUUCACUGAGUACUUUGGCACCUGAUUUAGCUUUCCUCUCCAG